CGGCCCCGCAGGCCACAAGGCGCUUCGGCACUGAGUUGUGGCUGGACAGCCAGGCCCCCCUCUCUCCAACAUCUCCCGUCAAUAAGGAGGAGGAUUUCUUCAGUAUGCACGCACAGGCAUUCCCUGAUGAUCGUAGCUCCGCCCAGCCUAAUAUAACAAGCUCCGCCAGAUGAAUCUAAGCCCACCCCAGUAGAGGAACCUCUACAAAAGAAACC